UUGUAGAGCCUGCAGUUGCAGAAGAGAAAGUCAAACCAGUACCUUCAAAGAAAGAUACUGAAGCUACUAAGGAGAAAGUGAAACCAGCCCCAGUUAAGAAAGGUACAGAUUGAUUUUAUUGGACAUAUUUUUGCAAUGUUAAUGAUGCUAACUGCUUACAUCCACUAAUGUACAGAGCCUGAGGUUUCCAAAGAAAAAGCCAAGCCAGAACCUUCAAAGAAAGGUAAAAUGAUUGCACUUGUUUUUAUAUUUCAACAUGCAUACCUUAAAAUGGUUAUUACAUACAGAAAAAUGAUUGGAUCUUGCACAGAGGCUGAAGCUGUUGAUGAGAAGGCUAAACCAGCACCAGUUAAAAAAGGUAAAGUGCUCAUGCUCUGUAUUUGAGAGGGUAAUAGUAAAAGAUCCUGAUAGUUUAAUUAAUUUCACAAGAUUGAUUUUCUGAAAUAUAAUCCUGUAAAUGCAGGAUAAUAAGGUGCAGGUUUGUUUGAUAAGAAAACUUUCUGAAUAUUUUACAUUACUUAAGCAUGUACAUUAGAUCUACAUAAAUAUUUUACCAAGCAGUUUGACUUGAUUUUUAGAACCUGAAAUUAUUAAAGAAAAGGAGAAACCUCCAAAGAAAGGUAAUAAUUUUCAAAUGUGAAAAGAUGCACAAGGUACUAAUCUUGUGUUCAUGUAAUUUGGAAAUAAAUGUUGAUGUUAAACUUUUUAUUCUUUUAGAAGCUGUAAAAGAAAAGCCCAAACCUGCUUAUGUAAAGAAAGAACCUGAAGUUCCAAAAGAAAAAGCAAAACCUGAACCUACCAAAAAAGGUUAA
rnacentral:lncRNA from 1 species